rnacentral:rRNA from 1 species
UACGUAGGUGGCAAGCGUUGUCCGGAUUUAUUGGGCGUAAAGGGAGCGCAGGUGGUUUCUUAAGUCUGAUGUGAAAGCCCACGGCUUAAUCGUGGAGGGUCAUUGGAAACUGGGGAACUUGAGUGCAGAAGAGGAAAGUGGAAUUCCAAGUGUAGCGGUGGAAUGCGUAGGUAUUUGGAGGAACACCAGUGGCGAAGGCGACUUUCUGGUCUGUAACUGACACUGAGGCACGAAAGCGUGGGGAGCAAACAGGAUUAGAUACCCUGGUAGUCCCUGA